ensembl:lncRNA
CAGCUGCAAUGGAAGCAUCUCUAUUUGGAGGCUGUCUCCUUUGGAGCGUUCAGUAAGCUCUGAUUCUCAGAAAGAGGUGAAGGUGAGGAAUAUCAGAACAAUUUUUCAUCUUGCGAUGAUGACUGUUGAACAAACACUAGCUGUAAAGACAAUAGAAAGGCUCCCACUCUUUCUAAAGAAAGCUGGAUUGGGCCCUGGGGGAAAAAUCAAUGCUGAAUAGGAUCAGGAUAAACAGCAAAAGUGAAGAAAUAUGACUGCAAAUUCCAUUGGACCCAAACCCCAAAACAAGAGUAUAUAUUCUUAACGGUAGGAAUGUACAAUCUUUCUGAAGCCUCCUAAGUCUCUGAACUGGUAAAAAUAAUCUCAAACUUGAAAGCAGACUGAAAAUAGAUCUGGAGUCUCUAAGUGAAAAGAGACUGUUAUCCUCUGUGCCUGCUAACAAACAUAGUCUCUUUUUGUUAUGAAAUGUCUCUAACUGAAAAUACUGCCUGAAAGUAAACUCCUUCAUCAAUUCAUCACAAAUUCUUCAAAGGCAUUUUGGAAGUCUCCCUAAACCAUUGGCUUUAUUGUGGCUUUAUUUAGGAUUUGAGGAGAAAGAAUGCUGCAAUCAGAAAGAAAGAAAGACCGGCAGAGGAAAUGAUUACCUUUCAAUCCCCGUGAUUUAGAAAGAAUAACAUGCUUCUUUCUUGAUCUAUUGUAUUAUAUACUCACAGAAUAAGAUUUGACAAUGUGGCACUGAACUGUAACUCUCUACUGAGGUGAUAUCAUCCUGCGUUAUAUACCAGGGACUUCUGGACCUGGGACUUUCCUGCCCUUUCUAGGAUGGCAUUCCCCUCACUGUUUUUGGCUUAACCGCUGUAUGUUCCCUUCAGUGCCUCUCUAGGUAAAUUAAUCAAUGUAAAGGGUUGGCUGUCGCAUCCUCACCUGGUGUGGCUACUUCCUUUUGCUUAGAAUAAAUGUUAGUUUUGACAGAGGUGAUUAAAAAAAAAAAAAUCUGUGCUAUUUUUAAAUUCCUCAAACCCUUUCAAAACAAAACAGAACACAAGGUAAGUUUUGCUCCUUUCUGCAGUGAUGUAGCUGCACAUACUUCAUCUAAAGCAGAAAAAAAAGUGGUUGCUGCAGUGCAGUGCUCUAGGCAUUUCUGUUCUUCUAAAAGUACAGCAGCAAGGAGUUACUUUUUUCUGGUUGUAGUGAGUGCUUGUGUUUUUUGUGAUGAACAGCUGAGCUUGCUGUUCAGGUUCACAGGCUUUCUCAACACUUAUCAUUACUUUACUUCUUAAGGAAAGUAGGAUGGGGAAAAUGCCCAGCAUUAACUGUGGCAAAGACCUGCCUGGCCCCAUUUGACAAAAGGAUUAAGGAAACCUGAUUUCUGAUAGCUGCACAGCACACUAGAGGCAUUUGACAUUAGUCUCUAAUUCUGAGCUCACUAAAUGCUCUCAAAAAUGCCCCAAAAUGCUGGGGUCUGUGAUAAGAGCAGCAGAAGCAUCAUCCCAAGAGGGAUAUAACCAGGAAACGGUACCACAUGCAGUGGGUAUUGGCCAUGACUGUGGCAGGACCCUUAGCUCAGCAGCUCAGGAAGCCCACCCAGCCCUGCUCUUGCUUGGUUUUUAAUCAUGCUCUCUGCCAUCUAUGUGCUUUUCUCUGCCCAUUGCCAAACUUUGAACACAUUUCAUAAACUCAAGCUGGAACACUUGGCUUUAAAGACUGUGAUAAAACUGAUCACUUUAGCAUAUGAACCAGAUAAAUGUGUCCCUUUGUCAACAAGUAGUUCAUUUUUUUUUUUCCACUGAAAAAUUCAUUUUUCUUUCUGUUUUGCUACUGAAGGUUUGCUUUCAAAAUGAACAUUACAGACACUACCAAAUUUUUUCUCUGAAGCCUUGUUCAAGUACACGUAAAACAGGAACUGGUUUUUUUUGGAUAAAUAGUGCUCCCGCUGUUUACUCAUAGAUUUUAAAGCAAAGGUGAACUGAGAUGUGUUUACAGGUACCCCGUGCAGUACACUCGGCCAGCCUAAUUGUAUCUUUUACCAAAGCAACAUUAACUUAAGCAAACUAAGGUUGUGGCCCUGUACUCAAAAAAUCGGAUUCACUACUCACUUCCUUUUCACUAGUAAAAGCUCUGGGCUGUCAUCAGCAUUUCUGGAACCUUGUGUGGUAACUGUUUUGCUAGAAUGCUGCUGCUCUGGAGCCCCAGAGAAAUGCUUAUCUGGUAGCAUUUGUGUUGGUACUCUUUCAAAGCUGAAAAGAGGUGUUUUUUUUUUUUUUUUUUUGAUUGAAAGAAGGCUGGGUUUGCAAAUAAUGUAACAUUCUCUAAUCUGAUUUCAGCUGUAACCAGGGAAAACCAGUACUUUGUGGGUUAUUUGUGGGCUAUUUGUACGCAUACAGAACUGUGUCAUAGGAACCUUAUAGCCAACCACUGUCUGCAGCUGAUGAUGGAAACAAUCCAAACCAGCCCAAAUGAGGCAAGCACUGAGACCAAACGCAUGAACCACAGAGAAUCUGCAGUCUGUUCAAUGUUCAAUUUUCUCAAAAGCUCUCCACUAAAAUGCAUUGUAGUACAGAGAGGUGCAAUGUGUAGGGUUUUGGGAUGCAGUGUUUUGGACAAGGAAAAGAGAGAGGAUGCUCAGAUAAUGGAAAAGAGUCUCCCGGGAAUGGAUGGAUAUGCCCUAUGCUUUGGGCAGGUAUAUAUGUUGUGGGGAAUAGGGAAUGGGGUGGAGAGCCAGAAAUCACUUAGGGGUAUCUAUUUCAGCAGUGCACUGGUGAGAAAGGCUAGGCCAGAAGACUGGUGUUAGAGCCUGUAAUAAAAUGAGACAACAAAGCAGAUGUGAACCCACCCCUUGCAAACAGCACUUCACAUGUGCAUGUGAUUAAUAGCUGUGGUGAAGGGUUAGUGAGCAACAGCCUGAUGCCAAAUGGAUAUCAAUGGGAUAAAACCAUGCAUUUGGCAGAUAUGGGAAGGAGAACUCAUUGUUGUACACGGAAUAAAGGAGAGCACGCAGCAACUCCCUGAACCCCUGGUAGAGCCCUGGCACUCCGACAAGAAUCUGGCUGUAACCCUGUACAACAAGGACCACGCAUGUACACAUGUGCACACAAUUACAUGGCAUGGACGUAACAGGAGAAAAUUGAAUAUAAAAUAUUACAGAAAGCCAAUAAUUCUGGUUUAUAUCUUUCUUUCUCCUUGAGGCAGAAAAGAACUUGGCUAUUUUAAAAUCUGGGAUCUAUUUACAUAGCCAAACGUAAUGCUCUUUCUUGUGAAAAAUAAGGUAGGAUGGAAUUUAAAAUGUCAACAUUCCUGAGACCUGUUUAUCUCUUUUCAUGCCUCCCUCUGUACUCAGUAUUAAGGAAUAGACACUAGGUGAUAGAAAUUGUGACAGUUCUGCUAAAGUUAUGACAAGUUAUACCACCUGCAAAUAUGAUCCAAAAUCUCUGACAGUGUAACUAUGUUAGAAAAUAUGGUUUUAACCACAUGGUAGCUAGCGUAUGGGAAAAUCCUGUUGUUGAUAAAGCAGGUUGCAUCUUUCACUUGUUAGCUGAUUUAGGAAACCCAAAGAAAGCUUUAACACAGAAAGUCGAUGUUUUCCAUUGAAGGUAUUCAGUAGGUUAUCUGUGUUUUCCAAAACUUCCUAAUGGAAAUGGCAAGCACAACAUUAAUUUUUAUCAACUUUGUAAAUAAAAAAAAAUAUUUGAAACAAUAUUAAAAUCCUACAUUAUCUUAAGUGUCUUCAGAGACUGAUUGAAGCACAGGUUUGCUGUUACCAGAGCACAAAGACCUGAAUAUAAAUAGGCUUCUUUGGUGAUGGUAAUGUUUAUGGGAGCUAGAACAAGGUAAAUCUUCCCAAAACAGAGCAAGCAAAAGUUGCAAGAAAAGAAUCAUAAUAAAAUAAAAUCUAAUAAUCAAAAUAAAAUAAAAUCUAAUUAAAUAAAUUAGAAGGUUUGUGCUUGGCAAACAGAGGACAUGCUCUAAUCUGUGCCAAUGCAUAUGGAAGAAAAAAACCUGCUUGGGUAGAGUCUCCAAUGAAUUUUAGUUUUGCUGUCUACACUGAAGACUGUAACUUUCACUUCAUGGCAUUCCAUGGCACACACAUAUAGAUGGAAUCCGGCGUCUGUAUGAGGCAGCUAAUAGCCAAGAAAUUGACUCACUGAUUGCAGACAGUUCGGUUCUAUAUCUAGCUGUCUGUGACACAGCAGAGGAGAAAUCUGGGUCACCUGCGUGCCCUGAGUCACUGCCAUUGGCUAAAGGCUGCAAAUGCUCCACUGAACUGAUUAAACUUCUGCUAGUUCAUGUUUUCUAUUAUAAUAGCUCAUGCUACUGUUCAUGUUUUCUAUUUCUGUAUAUGUGCAAAUAAAAGAAACAGUUGCCUUAGCUCUGACUCCAAGUAGCAAUGUCGUUAAUAUACUAAAAAUUAAAUUUGAUGUGAUGUUAUUGCUGGUAUGUGUUAAUUGUAUUUUCAAGUAUGGGAGACAGAGUCCAUCUGAGAUUUUCAGACAGUAUUUUACAUAUACAGAGGAGAUAUUUCUCAAACUAAGCAAGCAGAGGAGAAGAAACAACUUAGUUUCUUCUAAUUUAGUUGCUCUUCUGCUUUAUUGUUCAUUAGGAGCCUAGAACUCCUUGACUACCCUCUCAGGACUUGUCUACAUUACAGAACAGAACAACAUUUGAUUCCAACAUUAAUAUGAAAAAUCAAACUGAGUCUGUUUAGAAGGAUUCAAAGGUUUACUCCUUAUAAUAAUUUUCCUUUGUUUAUUUAACUCUCGAGAAUUGUGCUUCUGCUGGUGUUAGAUAUGUUUCGGUAACGUUGACACGUUCUCUCUAAAGUAAGAGUAAUCAUAGUUUUCCUGGCUUUACUUCAUACUUGUAGAGCAGGAAGCCAAGACUGUACUGAAGUAAAGAAGUAAAUGAGGUUAUUCCGUAGAAAAUCUGCAGGGAUUGAGGUGAAAAUUACACUUGCAUCUUUGGCUGGUUUUGGUCCGCCAUGGGAUGAAGUUCUCAUGUUGCUGCCAUAGAGACGUAUCAUUUUUUGUCCAAUUUUCACAACCUAUAUCCCAGGCUGUACAUUUGAGG